rnacentral:rRNA from 1 species
ACUCCUACGGGGAGGCAGCAGUGGGGAAUAUUGGACAAUGGGGGAAACCCUGAUCCAGCCAUGCCGCGUGUGUGAAGAAGGCCUUCGGGGUUUGUAAAAGCACUUUCAGUGGGGAGGAAAGGUUGUUGGUUAAUACCUAACAGCUGUGACGUUACCCACAGAAGAAGCACCGGCUAACUCCGUGCCAGCAGCCGCGGUAAUACGGAGGGGGCUAGCGUUGUUCGAAUUACUGGGC